GAUGGGCUGACAACACAUGCAAAUUGUUUUGUAAUUUGUUCCCAUACUGUACCAAAUGUGACUUUCAAACCGAGAGUAUAAUGAAAACCUUUGUGUUGCGCUAACGGCAUGGCCUUUAAUGAAAACCUUGCAUGGAAAAAGGAAACCUCGGCCCGCAUUUGGUGAGUGUCACUAAUGUUUAUUCAUCUCUGGUUGUUAAAGGUUUGACUCAUGCUAACUGUUAGCAGUUUACAGAAAGUGCACACCCUCCUAGUAACUUUGGUUCAUCUCAGAUCAUUUGCAAUUACUUACUGUCUAGUCGUUGAACACAGAGUGGAUUACAAUUUUGCUUGAUAAAGAGAUUCACAAAAUCUGAAAAUACCUCGGGUAUGUUUCACAGAGAGCACUUAAAUAAACUUUCUCCAGUUUAUGACUGACUUGUGUUCUGCAGACUGGAGGAGGCCCAGCACAUUGAUGAGGAGGGAGUAGCCAUCGUGUAGACCCGCUGAUGGAGCCUCAGUUGUACAGCCGUCGCAAGGGUGAACCAGAGUGUCCCUUUUAUUCCAGCCAGGAUGAUAGUAGCGUGAAUGUAAUAGUCUCAUGUUGUUUUCAGUGAAGCUAUAUUCACUGAGCUG